rnacentral:rRNA from 1 species
UGCCCUAGUAACGGCGAGUGAAGCGGCACAGCUCAAUUUGAAAGCUGGCUCCGGCCCGCAUUGUAAUUUGCAGAGGAUGCUUUUGGCGAGGUGCCUUCCGAGUUCCCUGGAACGGGACGCCAUAGAGGGUGAGAGCCCCGUAUGGAUGGACACCAAACCUGUGUAAAGCUCCUUCAACGAGUCGAGUAGUUUGGGAAUGCUGCUCUAAAUGGGAGGUAAAUCUCUUCUAAAGCUAAAUACCGGCCAGAGACCGAUAGCGCACAAGUAGAGUGAUCGAAAGAUGAAAAGCACCUUGAAAAGGGGGUUAAACAGUACGUGAAAUUGUUGAAAGGGAAGCAUUUAUGACCAGACUUGCGCCGGGCAGCUCAUCAGGGGUUCUCCCCUGUGCACUCUGCCCGGCUCAGGCCAGCAUCGGUUCUCGUGGGAGGAUAAGAACAGUGGGAACGUGGCCCCCCUCCGGGGGGGUGUUAUAGCCCAUUGUACGAUACUCUCGUGGGGACCGAGGUUCGCGCUCCGCAAGGAUGCUGGCGUAAUGGUCAUCAAUGACCCGUCUUGAAACACGGACCAAGGAGUCGUCCAUUAGAGCGAGCGUUUGGGUGUAAAACCCGCACGCGUAAUGAAAGUGAACGCAGGUGAGAGCUUCGGCGCAUCAUCGACCGAUCCUGAUGUCUUCGGAUGGAUUUGAGUAAGAGUUUUAACGGACGGACCCGAAAGACAGUGAACUAUGCUUGUAUAGGGUGAAGCCAGAGGAAACUCUGGUGGAGGCUCGCAGCGGUUCUGACGUGCAAAUCGAUCGUCAAAUAUGAGCAUGGGGGCGAAAGACUAAUCGAACUGUCUAGUAGCUGGUUACCGCCGAAGUUUCCCUCAGGAUAGCAGUGUUGUUCUUCAGUUUUAUGAGGUAAAGCGAAUGAUUAGGGACUCGGGGGCGCUUAUUAGCCUUCAUCCAUUCUCAAACUUUAAAUAUGUAAGAAGCCCUUGUUACUUAAUUGAACGUGGGCAUUCGAAUGUACCAACACUAGUGGGCCAUUUUUGGUAAGCAGAACUGGCGAUGCGGGAUGAACCGAACGCGGGGUUAAGGCGCCAGAGUGUACGCUCAUCAGACACCACAAAAGGCGUUAGUACAUCUUGACAGCAGGACGGUGGCCAUGGAAGUCGGAAUCCGCUAAGGACUGUGUAACAACUCACCUGCCGAAUGUACUAGCCCUGAAAAUGGAUGGCGCUCAAGCGUACCGCCCAUACCCCGCCCUCAGGGUAGAAACGAUGCCCUGAGGAGUAGGCGGCCGUGGGGGUCAGUGACGAAGCCUA